rnacentral:rRNA from 1 species
GACGAACGCUGGCGGCGUGCUUAACACAUGCAAGUCGAGCGGAGCGGCGGACGGGUGAGUAACACGUGAGUAACCUGCCUUAGACAUUGGGAUAGCCUCGGGAAACCGGGAUUAAUACCAAAUGGUCUAAGCAGGACUAGCGUCCCAUUAGCUAGUUGGUGGGUAACGGCCCACCAAGGCGACGAUGGGUAGACGGCCUUAGAGGGUGAACGGACACAUUGGAACUGAGAAACGGUCCAAACUCUACGGGAGGCAGCAGUGGUGAAUAGUGCACAAUGGAGGGAACGCUGAUGCAGCGACGCCUCGUGAACGAAGAAGGCUUUCGAGUCGUAAAGUUCUUUUAUAUGGGAAGCGGUACCAUAAGAAAAAGCCCCGGCUAACUACGUGCCAGCAGCCGCGGUAAUUC